rnacentral:precursor_RNA from 1 species
CUCAUGCUAGGCUCAAUCGAGACUCUUUGACUUGCUGCACACAAUUAGACACAGGAGCCUCCUCGACCUGUGCAUGGGUGCAUACAAUUACCGUGUGAUUGGUUGCCCAGCUCUCAACGCCUAGGCUCCUCACGAGUGUUGACUGCGCCUGCAUUUCUGAUUGGUUGGCUGCACGGCUGCGCCCGGAAUGUGCGGGUGCAAGCAAAUCUAUUUUACGCUCCUCGGCGGCUGCCGGCAACCAAUCAAGAGAAAGAUGCUUCAGGCGGAGAGUUUCACUGCUCAUCGUGUCUACUGAUCUAUUGUUAUGUUGCUCGCCAGCCCCUUUGGUCACCGAAGUCCAAACCCUAAAGCUGUUCAACAAAGAGUUGUACUCCCUCCCUCGGUUCCAAAAUAAAAUUCGUUUUAACUUUUUAA